UACGGGGGGAGCAAGCGUUGUUCGGAUUACUGGGCGUAAAGGGCGCGUAGGCGGCCACCGCAAGUCGACUGUGAAAUCUCCGGGCUUAACUCGGAACGGUCAGCUGAUACUGCUUUGCUAGAGUGCAGAAGGGGCAAUCGGAAUUCUUGGUGUAGCGGUGAAAUGCGUAGAUAUCAAGAGGAACACCUGAGGUGAAGACGGGUUGCUGGGCUGACACUGACGCUGAGGCGCGAAAGCUAGGGUAGCAAACGGG
rnacentral:rRNA from 1 species